GCCUGGGUGGCUCAGUCAGUUAAGCGUCUGACUUUGGCUCAGGUCAUGAUCUCACAGUUCGUGAGUUCGAGCCUCGCAUCAGGCU
rnacentral:tRNA from 1 species